AUACGGAGGGUGCAAGCGUUAAUCGGAAUUACUGGGCGUAAAGCGCACGCAGGCGGUCUGUCAAGUCGGAUGUGAAAUCCCCGGGCUCAACCUGGGAACUGCAUUCGAAACUGGCAGGCUAGAGUCUUGUAGAGGGGGGUAGAAUUCCAGGUGUAGCGGUGAAAUGCGUAGAGAUCUGGAGGAACACCAGUGGCGAAGGCGGCUCUCUGGUCUGUAACUGACGCUGAGGCUCGAAAGCGUGGGGAGCAAACAGGAUUAGAUACCCUGGUAGUCCACGCCGUAAACGAUGUCGACUUGGAGGUUGUGCCCUUGAGGCGUGGCUUCCGGAGCUAACGCGUUAAGUCGACCGCCUGGGGAGUACGGCCGCAAGGUUGAA
rnacentral:rRNA from 1 species